UACGUAGGGGGCAAGCGUUGUCCGGAAUCAUUGGGCGUAAAGCGCGUGUAGGCGGCUUGGUAAGUCCGCUCUGAAAGCCCGGGGCUCAACCCCGGGAGGCGGGUGGAUACUGUCAAGCUCGAGUCCGGAAGAGGCGAGUGGAAUUCCUGGUGUAGCGGUGAAAUGCGCAGAUAUCAGGAAGAACACCAACGGCGAAGGCAGCUCGCUGGGACGGAACUGACGCUGAGGCGCGAAAGCGUGGGGAGCGAACAGG
rnacentral:rRNA from 1 species